rnacentral:rRNA from 1 species
CCGAUGGCGACCGGCGCACGGGUGAGUAACACGUAUCCAACCUGCCGAUAACUCGGGGAUAGCCUUUCGAAAGAAAGAUUAAUAUCCGAUAGGAUAUCAAGGUCGCAUGAUCUUGAUAUUAAAGAAUUUCGGUUAUCGAUGGGGAUGCGUUCCAUUAGUUAGUUGGCGGGGUAACGGCCCACCAAGACGACGAUGGAUAGGGGUUCUGAGAGGAAGGUCCCCCACAUUGGAGCUGAGACACGGUCCAAACUCCUACGGAAGGCAGCAG